rnacentral:rRNA from 1 species
GAUGAACGCUGGCGGCGUGCCUAAUACAUGCAAGUCAAGCGAACGGACGAGAAGCUUGCUUCUCUGAUGUUAGCGGCGGACGGGUGAGUAACACGUGGAUAACCUACCUAUAAGACUGGGAUAACUUCGGGAAACCGGAGCUAAUACCGGAUAAUAUUUUGAACCGCAUGGUUCAAAAGUGAAAGACGGUCUUGCUGUCACUUAUAGAUGGAUCCGCGCUGCAUUAGCUAGUUGGUAAGGUAACGGCUUACCAAGGCAACGAUGCAUAGCCGACCUGAGAGGGUGAUCGGCCACACUGGAACUGAGACACGGUCCAGACUCCUACGGGAGGCAGCAGUAGGGAAUCUUCCGCAAUGGGCGAAAGCCUGACGGAGCAACGCCGCGUGAGUGAUGAAGGUCUUCUGAUCGUAAAACUCUGUUAUUAGGGAAGAACAUAUGUGUAAGUAACUGUGCACAUCUUGACGGUACCUAAUCAGAAAGCCACGGCUAACUACGUG